rnacentral:misc_RNA from 1 species
UUGAGAGUUGCGAGGAACCUUCUACACUGUUGCUUUCUAGUUUUCAUCCUGCCAAUCUAUCGAUGUUGUUUGUAGUCCCUGAAAUGCGAUCUUGAUCUGCUAAUCUUUUGAGGUAAUCCACAAAGUGAUGAUUGAUUUCCACAGGGCUUGCUCGAGAGCUACCUUCCUGCUAUGCUUUCUUUCUUGGGUCAACCAAGUCAUUCAAUAGUCCAACAAGCUUUGCUGUCGCCGGGCACAUAGAGAAGUAGUUCUGCUCUGUUCAGUAUCAUAAGUACUGGAUGUUCCUGGAAGGGGUAUGUCCUAAGUAGUUGCUUUCCCUUCUUCUGCGAUAUAGCUGGUGGCUUUCCCGGUGGGAUGUAAUGCAAAAUCGUAAUAGAGGGUCCCCCGCCACUAUAUCGCUAGUCGGUCUCUUUUUCCGGCUGGAUGAGUGGUCGAUCGGAUGCUUUCGUCUGCUCUAGUCUUCCCCUCUGG